rnacentral:rRNA from 1 species
GACGAACGCUGGCGGCGUGCUUAACACAUGCAAGUCGAACGGAAAGGCCCUGCUUUUGUGGGGUGCUCGAGUGGCGAACGGGUGAGUAACACGUGAGUAACCUGCCCUUGACUUUGGGAUAACUUCAGGAAACUGGGGCUAAUACCGGAUAGGAGCUCCUGCUGCAUGGUGGGGGUUGGAAAGUUUCGGCGGUUGGGGAUGGACUCGCGGCUUAUCAGCUUGUUGGUGGGGUAGUGGCUUACCAAGGCUUUGACGGGUAGCCGGCCUGAGAGGGUGACCGGCAAAAUGGGGACGGGGAAACGGCCCAGGCCCCCACGGGGGGCAGGGGGGGGGAAUAUUGCAAAAUGGGCGGAAGCCUGAUGCAGCAACGCCGGGGGGGGGAAGACGGCCUUCGGGUUGUAAACCGUUUUCGCCGGUGACGAGGGGGGGGGGAGGGUAAUGGGGAAAGAAGCCCCGGCAAACUACGU